rnacentral:rRNA from 1 species
GAUAAACGCUGGCGGCGUGCCUAACACAUGCAAGUCGAACGCCCUUUUGCGCAAGUGAGAGGGAGUGGCGGACGGGUGAGUACCACGUGGGUACCUACCUUGAGGUGAGGAAUACCACCGAGAAAUCGGUGACAAGACCGCAUACGCUCGGGCAACCGAGCAAAGUCAUGCAAAUGACGCCACAAGAUGAGCCUGCGCCUGAUUAGCUGGUUGGUGAGGUAACAGCUCACCAAGGCGACGAUCAGUAGCUGGUCUGAGAGGAUGAUCAGCCACACUGGGAUUGAGAACGGCCCAGACUCCUACGGGGG